rnacentral:rRNA from 1 species
UAACGGCCCACCAUGGCGACGAUCAGUAGCCGGACUCGAGAGGUUGACCGGCCACAUUGGGACUGAGACACGGCCCAAACUCCUACGGGAGGCAGCAGUGGGGAAUAUUGCACAAUGGGGGAAACCCUGAUGCAGCGACGCCGCGUGAGUGAAGAAGUAUUUCGGUAUGUAAAGCUCUAUCAGCAGGGAAGAAAAUGACGGUACCUGACUAAGAAGCCCCGGCUAACUAC